rnacentral:rRNA from 1 species
GAUGAACGCUGGCGGCGUGCUUAACACAUGCAAGUCGAACGAUGAAGCCCAGCUUGCUGGGUGGAUUAGUGGCGAACGGGUGAGUAACACGUGAGUAACCUGCCCUUAACUCUGGGAUAAGCCUGGGAAACUGGGUCUAAUACCGGAUAGGAGCGUCCACCGCAUGGUGGGUGUUGGAAAGAUUUAUCGGUUUUGGAUGGACUCGCGGCCUAUCAGCUUGUUGGUGAGGUAAUGGCUCACCAAGGCGACGACGGGUAGCCGGCCUGAGAGGGUGACCAGCCACACUGGGACUGAGACACGGCCCAGACUCCUACGGGAGGCAGCAGUGGGGAAUAUUGCACAAUGGGCGAAAGCCUGAUGCAGCGACGCCGCGUGAGGGAUGACGGCCUUCGGGUUGUAAACCUCUUUCAGUAGGGAAGAAGCGAAAGUGACGGUACCUGCAGAAGAGGCACCGGCUAACUACGUG